AGUGAACGCUGGCGGUAGGCCUAACACAUGCAAGUCGAACGGCAGCACAGUAAGAGCUUGCUCUUACGGGUGGCGAGUGGCGGACGGGUGAGGAAUACAUCGGAAUCUACUUUUUCGUGGGGGAUAACGUAGGGAAACUUACGCUAAUACCGCAUACGACCUACGGGUGAAAGCAGGGGAUCUUCGGACCUUGCGCGUUUGAAUGAGCCGAUGUCGGAUUAGCUAGUUGGCGGGGUAAAGGCCCACCAAGGCGACGAUCCGUAGCUGGUCUGAGAGGAUGAUCAGCCACACUGGAACUGAGACACGGUCCAGACUCCUACGGGAGGCAGCAGUGGGGAAUAUUCGACAAUGGGCGAAAGCCUGAUCCAGCAAUACCGCGUGGGUGAAGAAGGCCUUCGGGUUGUAAAGCCCUUUUGUUGGGAAAGAAAAGCAGCAGGUGAAUACCCCGCUGUUCUGACGGUACCCAAAGAAAAAGCACCGGCUAACUACGUG
rnacentral:rRNA from 1 species